GAUGAACGCUGGCGGCGUGCCUAAUACAUGCAAGUCGAGCGAACAGACGAGGAGCUUGCUCCUCUGACGUUAGCGGCGGACGGGUGAGUAACACGUGGAUAACCUACCUAUAAGACUGGGAUAACUUCGGGAAACCGAGCUAAUACCGGAUAAUAUAUUGAACCGCAUGGUUCAAUAGUGAAAGACGGUUUUGCUGUCACUUAUAGAUGGAUCCGCGCCGCAUUAGCUAGUUGGUAAGGUAACGGCUUACCAAGGCAACGAUGCGUAGCCGACCUGAGAGGGUGAUCGGCCACACUGGAACUGAGACACGGUCCAGACUCCUACGGGAGGCAGCAGUAGGGAAUCUUCCGCAAUGGGCGAAAGCCUGACGGAGCAACGCCGCGUGAGUGAUGAAGGUCUUCGGAUCGUAAAACUCUGUUAUUAGGGAAGAACAAAUGUGUAAGUAACUAUGCACGUCUUGACAGUACCUAAUCAGAAAGCCACGGCUAACUACGUG
rnacentral:rRNA from 1 species